CGGGGGAAGUUCCUGCUGGGAAGGGCGAGCCCGAGUCCAGUCUCGCUCCUUGCUGCAGGCGGUGGGUUUUGCUUCUAGGUCUGCGGGGGAAGGCUGAAGAGUCCCAUGUCUUUCAGCAUCUCCUCGUAUGACCUGCUCUUCAGACCUCUAAUCAUGUGCGUGGCCCUCCUUUGGACUCUCUCAAGCUUCUCCACAUCCUUCCUGAAGUGUGAUGUGCUUGCGGUUUGAUUUCAAAGGUGAAUAAGCACACCAGUCCUUUAAAUGGUUCUAUGACCAAAUGUGGAAGUCCCAACAGACCAGCAGAUCCAGCACAAUCCAGCAGAUGGGCACAAUUAAAACUGGUAUCAUGAAGAACUAGA